UACGGGGGAUGCAAGUGUUAUCCGGAAUAAUUGGGCGUAAAGCGUCUGUAGGUGGUUGACCAAGUCUGUUGUUAAAAAUCAGGGCUUAACCCUGAUCCGGCAACAGAAACUAGUAAACUUGAGUACGGUAGGGGCAGAGGGAAUUCUCGGUGUAGUGGUGAAAUACGUAGAUAUCGAGAAGAACACCAAUAGCGAAAGCACUCUGCUGGGCCGAAACUGACAUUGAGAGACGAAAGCUAGGGGAGCAAAAGGGAUUAGAUACCCCUGUAGUCCUAGCCGUAAACGAUGGAUACUAAGUGCUGUGCGACUCAAAACGUCCAGUGCUGUAGCUAACGCGUGAAGUAUCCCGCCUGGGGAGUAUGCUCGCAAGAGUGAA
rnacentral:rRNA from 1 species